UACGUAGGGUGCAAGCGUUAAUCGGAAUUACUGGGCGUAAAGCGUGCGCAGGCGGUUCGCUAAGACAGAUGUGAAAUCCCCGGGCUCAACCUGGGAACUGCAUUUGUGACUGUAGAGCUGGAGUACGGCAGGAGGGGGAUGGAAUUCCGCGUGUAGCAGUGAAUGCGUAGAUAUGCGGAGGAACACCGAUGGCGAAGGCAAUCCCCUGGGCCUGUACUGACGCUCAUGCACGAAAGCGUGGGGAGCAAACAGG
rnacentral:rRNA from 1 species